GGGCAACUACCACUCAGGGCCGGAAAGCUCUCCAAACUCGGUCAUUUAGAGGAAGUAAAAGUCGUAACAAGGUCUCCGUUGGUGAACCAGCGGAGGGAUCAUUACCGAGUUUACAACUCCCAAACCCAAUGUGAACGUUACCAAACUGUUGCCUCGGCGGGAUCUCUGCCCCGGGUGCGUCGCAGCCCCGGACCAAGGCGCCCGCCGGAGGACCAACCAAAACUCUUAUUGUAUACCCCCUCGCGGGUUUUUUUAUAAUCUGAGCCUUCUCGGCGCCCCUCGUGGGCGUUUCGAAAAUGAAUCAAAACUUUCAACAACGGAUCUCUUGGUUCUGGCAUCGAUGAAGAACGCAGCGAAAUGCGAUAAGUAAUGUGAAUUGCAGAAUUCAGUGAAUCAUCGAAUCUUUGAACGCACAUUGCGCCCGCCAGUAUUCUGGCGGGCAUGCCUGUCCGAGCGUCAUUUCAACCCUCGAACCCCUCCGGGGGGUCGGCGUUGGGGAUCGGCCCUCCCUCUGCGGGGGCCGUCUCCGAAAUACAGUGGCGGUCUCGCCGCAGCCUCUCCUGCGCAGUAGUUUGCACACUCGCACCGGGAGCGCGGCGCGUCCACAGCCGUUAAACACCCAACUUUCUGAAAUGUUGACCUCGGAUCAGGUAGGAAUACCCGCUGAACUUAAGCAUAUCAAUAAGCGGAGGAAAAGAAACCAACAGGGAUUGCCCCAGUAACGGCGAGUGAAGCGGCAACAGCUCAAAUUUGAAAUCUGGCCCCUAGGGUCCGAGUUGUAAUUUGUAGAGGAUGCUUUUGGUGAGGUGCCGCCCGAGUUCCCUGGAAC
rnacentral:rRNA from 1 species